GCCUGGGUGGUUCAGUUGGUUGAGCGUCUGACUUCGGCUCAGGUCAAGAUCUCAGGGUUCGUGAGUUUGAGCCCCACAUCAGGCU
rnacentral:tRNA from 1 species